GUUAGACACUGCAGGCACAGGCAGUCUCAGGAGUGGGAAAGCCUCAGGCCAUCCGGACUCUGGCUAGAAGAACCAGUGCCUAUAAUGGUGAAAGAGCAGACAAGGAGGAGAAGAAAAGGGAAUAAUGUCACAGAAUGUUGAUGAGAUUCUUCUUGAACCCUGAAAUUGGAGGACUAGGAAGCCUCCACAUUCUAAACAAUACUUCUAAAAGAGGUGAAGAUCAAGCAUCAUGCCCAAGGAUUCCUAAGAGUUUGCAGAAUUAGCCGCUGCCUCUGCCUCUGACCAGUCACAACACUUGUCAAGCUGUGAGAAUGAGGACACAGGAGCAUGGAAGAUGAAGAUGUUGUGAGAACUGUCAAAACUGUUUAGGAUGAAAUCCUCCCUUCCCUGGAAGCCAAGAGGGGAGGUGGCAAGAGGGGAGGUUGUCUCAGAGAAUCACUUUUGGAGGCUAGGGCACUUCACUUGCCUAUUGGAUAUUGCUGAACUGCAGAACCUUUAGGUCUCGCCUGGUGCUGCUAUUGCAGAGGAGUGAAGCAUAGUGUGCAGGCAGACUCCUAGGAUGGUCCUAAGAGUUUCAGGCCCAGUUGUACACAUACCUUCUCCCAGCUUCCAAUUAAUCACUAGUCUGGGUUCUUAUGUGAAAGAAUUUUUCAGAUAUAAUUAAGAUCUCAAAUCAAUUUGCCCUAAAAUGGGGAGAAAUCUGGGAGAGGCUUUUCCAUGUGGGUCUUCCAUAUGAGACCUUUCCAUGUGUGUCUAGAAAUCAGAGACAGGGGCAUUCAGGUGUGUGAAGUAUGAGGGAGAUUGGGCACAUGAGAAGUUCUCUGUUGGCAACUUGAAGAUGAAAGGGGCAACAUGGAAGACAUGCAGGCAGCCUCUAAAAGAUGCAAGUGAACCUGGUUGAUGCCAAUAAGAAAAUGGGGACCUCAGUCUUAAUAACCACAAGGAACUGAAUUCUGCUUGGAACCUGAAUUCACUUGGAAGCAGAGCCUCCAAAUGAGAACUCAACGUGGUCAACACCCUGAUUUCACUCUUAUAAUAACCUGAGCUGACUUCAGCUGACUUAUCAGCUGAUAAGACUUCACACUCACAGAAUUCAGAGAUAAUAAAUGGAUUGUAUUUGUCAGAUUGCUGCCCCAUAUCUCCGAAUCUACAAACUCUUCUGCAUUGUGAUCUCCCUUCCAUCUCAUCAGCCAGUGAAGUCUAUUUUUUACUCUCUCUGAAUCUAAGCUGACUCCUGUGCCCUGCUUGACCAAGAGAAUACAGUAGUGGAAGUGAUGUUCUGGGGCUCCCAAGACUAGAUCAUAAGAAGCCUUGAAAUUUCUGUUUGAGCUCCUUGGAUUGUUCUUUUUGGAGGUCUUUCCUUUGGGGAACCCACCCUCACACUGUGAGGAGCUCACACAACACGGAAAGACCACAUGUAGGCUCUUAGGUCAACAGCCACAACAGUGCUGCCAGAGGAGAGCCAGCAUAAAAUACCACAUGAAGAGCCAUUCUGGAUGUCCAGCCUUUGGAUGACUGCAAUUUCACACAUCCUGAGCUACUACUGCCCCACUGAGCCCAGUCAACCUACCAAAUUGUGAGAGAUAAUAAUUGUUGUCUUAAGCCAUGU